UACGUAGGGUGCGAGCGUUAAUCGGAAUUACUGGGCGUAAAGCGUGCGCAGGCGGUCUGUUAAGACCGAUGUGAAAUCCCCGGGCUUAACCUGGGAACUGCAUUGGUGACUGGCAGGCUUUGAGUGUGGCAGAGGGAGGUAGAAUUCCACGUGUAGCAGUGAAAUGCGUAGAGAAUGUGGAGGAAUACCGAUGGCGAAGGCAGCCUCCUGGGCCAACACUGACGCUCAUGCACGAAAGCGUGGGGAGCAAACAGGA
rnacentral:rRNA from 1 species